GAGCCGAGCCGUUAACAUAGAGCGAACUGUUCUUUCGCCUUUUACUAAAGAAUACCACGUGUUCGUCGCAUUCACCAGCAUACGCCGUUUUUUGAGGAUUUUCUCUUCUUAGAGAAUC